CUCUUCUUGGAUGAGUUGCGAACGGGUGAGUAACGCGUAGGUAACCUGCCUUGUAGCGGGGGAUAACUAUUGGAAACGAUAGCUAAUACCGCAUAACAAUGGAUGACACAUGUCAUUUAUUUGAAAGGGGCAAUUGCUCCACUACAAGAUGGACCUGCGUUGUAUUAGCUAGUAGGUGAGGUAAUGGCUCACCUAGGCGACGAUACAUAGCCGACCUGAGAGGGUGAUCGGCCACACUGGGACUGAGACACGGCCCAGACUCCUACGGGAGGCAGCAGUAGGGAAUCUUCGGCAAUGGGGGCAACCCUGACCGAGCAACGCCGCGUGAGUGAAGAAGGUUUUCGGAUCGUAAAGCUCUGUUGUAAGUCAAGAACGGGUGUGAGAGUGGAAAGUUCACACUGUGACGGUAGCUUACCAGAAAGGGACGGCUAACUACGUGCCAGCAGCCGCGGUAAUACGUAGGUCCCGAGCGUUGUCCGGAUUUAUUGGGCGUAAAGCGAGCGCAGGCGGUUUGAUAAGUCUGAAGUUAAAGGCUGUGGCUCAACCAUAGUUCGCUUUGGAAACUGUCAAACUUGAGUGCAGAAGGGGAGAGUGGAAUUCCAUGUGUAGCGGUGAAAUGCGUAGAUAUAUGGAGGAACACCGGUGGCGAAAGCGGCUCUCUGGUCUGUAACUGACGCUGAGGCUCGAAAGCGUGGGGAGCGAACAGGAUUAGAUACCCUGGUAGUCCACGCCGUAAACGAUGAGUGCUAGGUGUUGGAUCCUUUCCGGGAUUCAGUGCCGCAGCUAACGCAUUAAGCACUCCGCCUGGGAAGUACGACCGCAAGGUUGAAACUCAAAGGAAUUGACGGGGGCCCGCACAAGCGGUGGAGCAUGUGGUUUAAUUCGAAGCAACGCGAAGAACCUUACCAGGUCUUGACAUCCCGAUGCUAUUUCUAGAGAUAGAAAGUUACUUCGGUACAUCGGUGACAGGUGGUGCAUGGUUGUCGUCAGCUCGUGUCGUGAGAUGUUGGGUUAAGUCCCGCAACGAGCGCAACCCCUAUUGUUAGUUGCCAUCAUUCAGUUGGGCACUCUAGCGAGACUGCCGGUAAUAAACCGGAGGAAGGUGGGGAUGACGUCAAAUCAUCAUGCCCCUUAUGACCUGGGCUACACACGUGCUACAAUGGUUGGUACAACGAGUUGCGAGUCGGUGACGGCGAGCUAAUCUCUUAAAGCCAAUCUCAGUUCGGAUUGUAGGCUGCAACUCGCCUACAUGAAGUCGGAAUCGCUAGUAAUCGCGGAUCAGCACGCCGCGGUGAAUACGUUCCCGGGCCUUGUACACACCGCCCGUCACACCACGAGAG
rnacentral:rRNA from 1 species